GCGAGGGUGGCGGAAUUGGUAGACGCACUGGAUUUAGGAUCCAGCGAGGCAACUCAUGGGGGUUCAAGUCCCCCCCUUCGUACCA
rnacentral:tRNA from 1 species